UGAGGUACUGUCCUAGCUAGACCCUG
rnacentral:piRNA from 1 species